rnacentral:rRNA from 1 species
UACGAAGGGGGCUAGCGUUGCUCGGAAUCACUGGGCGUAAAGGGUGCGUAGGCGGGUCUUUAAGUCAGGGGUGAAAUCCCGCGGCUCAACCGUGGAACUGCCUCAGAUACUGACGGCCUCGAGGGAGGUAGGGGCGAGCGGAACUGUGAGUGGAGCGGUGAAAUGCGUUGAUAUUCACAGGAACUCCGGUGGCGAAGGCGGCUCGCUGGGCCUUUUCUGACGCUGAUGCGCGAAAGCUAGGGGAGCAAACGGG